rnacentral:lncRNA from 1 species
UUGUUAAGGAUUUGUUUUUAUAAAAUUGAAAUAUUUUCAAAAUUCAUUGUUUUCAGUAUCACUAAUAUUUUACAAUUUUUCUUGUUAAUUAAAUCAUUGUUAUUAUCAUGUUUAUAAUUAAUUUUUAAGUAAAAAAUACAAUUCAUUAAAAUUUUACAUUAUGUCUGGUCAGGAUACAAUUCAAUUCAAGUAAAAAAAUAAAAACUAUUUUUUCUAUAAAAAAAACUAAUUACACAUAAGAUAAAAUACUGCUUUUAUUAAAAUAUAAAUUUAACUAAAUGAAACUAGAGGUGUGCAAAAAAACCCGAAUCAAACCGAACUAACCUAACCGAACCGAUUCAAAACAAACCAAACUCUAUUUUCAAAUUGUUUGGUUUAAGAUUUUCCCAACCCGAACAAACCGAACCAAAACCGAUCCGGACCAAAUCGAAUUAAACCGAACUCAGAAACCAAUGUGUUUUUGUUAAUACUUGAAUUAAACAUAUUACCAAUAUACAAUAUACUAAAUUUCAGUUUUAUAUUGAAUUUAGUUUAUAGUUUAUUUUUUCAGAGUCAUCAAUUGUUAUUAUC